rnacentral:rRNA from 1 species
UACGAGGGGUGCAAGCGUUGCUCGGAAUUAUUGGGCGUAAAGGGUAGGUAGGUGGUCUCAUUUGUCUGGGGUGAAAGCCUUGAGCUUAACUCAAGAAGUGCCUCGGAAACGGUGAGACUAGAGUCUUGGAGAGGGUUGCGGAAUUCCCGGUGUAGCGGUGAAAUGCGUAGAUAUCUGGAGGAACACCGGUGGCGAAGGCGGCUUUCUGGACAAAUACCGACGCUGAGGCACGAAAGCUAGGGGAGCAAACAGG